rnacentral:snRNA from 1 species
AUACUUACCUGGACGGGGUCGAUGGGUGAUCAAGAAGGUCCAUGGCCUAGGUUGGCGACCUCCAUUGCACUAGGGAGGGGUGCCCGUCUAACAUCUCCCCUAGUGGGAGAGUGUACGUCAUAAUUUGUGGUAGAGGGGGGGUACGCGUUCGCGCGGCCCCUA